rnacentral:tRNA from 1 species
AUUUAAAUAAUUUAAUUUAAAAUAUUGAUUUGUGGAGUCAAAAAUAUGAUUUAAUUUCAUUUUAAAUU